GAGCGGCGAACGGGUGAGUAACACGUGAGUAACCUGCCCCUGACUCUGGGAUAAGCCCGGGAAACUGGGUCUAAUACCGGAUACGACACCUCCUGGCAUCGGGUGGGUGUGGAAAGUUUUUUCGGUUGGGGAUGGACUCGCGGCCUAUCAGCUUGUUGGUGGGGUAAUGGCCUACCAAGGCGACGACGGGUAGCCGGCCUGAGAGGGCGACCGGCCACACUGGGACUGAGACACGGCCCAGACUCCUACGGGAGGCAGCAGUGGGGAAUAUUGCGCAAUGGGCGAAAGCCUGACGCAGCGACGCCGCGUGGGGGAUGACGGCCUUCGGGUUGUAAACCUCUUUCAGCAGGGACGAAGUUGACGUGUACCUGCAGAAGAAGCGCCGGCUAACUACGUGCCAGCAGCCCGCGGUAAUACGUAGGGCGCAAGCGUUGUCCGGAAUUAUUGGGCGUAAAGAGCUCGUAGGUGGCUUGUCACGUCGGGUGUGAAAGCUUGGGGCUUAACUCCAGGUCUGCAUUCGAUACGGGCUGGCUAGAGGUAGGUAGGGG
rnacentral:rRNA from 1 species